rnacentral:rRNA from 1 species
CCUACGGGAGGCAGCAGUGAGGAAUAUUGGUCAAUGGACGAGAGUCUGAACCAGCCAAGUAGCGUGAAGGAUGACUGCCCUAUGGGUUGUAAACUUCUUUUAUAUGGGAAUAAAAUGUUCCACGUGUGGGAUUUUGUAUGUACCAUAUGAAUAAGGAUCGGCUAACUCCGUGCCAGCAGCCGCGGUAAUACGGAGGAUCCGGUCGUUAUCCGGAUUUAGUGGGUUUAAAGGGAGCGUAGGUGGAUUGUUAAGUCAGUUGUGAAAGUUUGCGGCUCAACCGUAAAAUUGCAGUUGAAACUGGCAGUCUUGAGUACAGUAGAGGUGGGCGGAAUUCGUGGUGUAGCGGUGAAAUGCUUAGAUAUCACGAAGAACUCCGAUUGCGAAGGCAGCUCACUGGACUGCAACUGACACUGAGGCUCGAAAGUGUGGGUAUCAAACAGGAUUAGAUACCCCGGUAGUC